CUGAUGGUGGCGCAUGGGUGGAAAUCGGUGUCGAUCGCCCAAUACCCCUCCGCACUGAGGAGAAAUAUGCGGUAGGGAGACGCCUGAACGUCAG
rnacentral:ncRNA from 1 species